CCCCAGACUCCUACGGGAGGCAGCAGUGGGGAAUAUUGCACAAUGGGGGAAACCCUGAUGCAGCGACGCCGCGUGAGCGAUGAAGUAUUUCGGUAUGUAAAGCUCUAUCAGCAGGGAAGAAAAUGACGGUACCUGACUAAGAAGCCCCGGCUAACUACGUGCCAGCAGCCGCGGUAAUACGUAGGGGGCAAGCGUUAUCCGGAUUUACUGGGUGUAAAGGGAGCGUAGACGGCAUGGCAAGUCAGAUGUGAAAGCCCGGGGCUCAACCCCGGGACUGCAUUUGAAACUGUCAGGCUGGAGUGCAGGAGAGGUAAGUGGAAUUCCUAGUGUAGCGGUGAAAUGCGUAGAUAUUAGGAGGAACACCAGUGGCGAAGGCGGCUUACUGGACUGUAACUGACGUUGAGGCUCGAAAGCGUGGGGAGCAAACAGGAUUAGAUACCCUAGUAUA
rnacentral:rRNA from 1 species